rnacentral:rRNA from 1 species
AUACGGAGGAUGCAAGCGUUAUCCGGAUUUAUUGGGUUUAAAGGGUGCGUAGGCGGAUGAUUAAGCGUGAGGUGAAAUGCUACUGCUCAACAGUGGAACUGCCUCGCGAACUGGUUGUCUUGAAUGCUCCUGCCGUGGGAGGAAUGUGUGGUGUAGCGGUGAAAUGCAUAGAGAUCACACAGAACACCGAUUGCGAAGGCAUCUCACGAAGGGGUGAUUGACGCUGAGGCACGAAAGCGUGGGGAUCAAACAGGAUUAGAUACCCUGGUAGUCCACGCAGUAAACGAUGAUGGCUAACCGCUGGUUUAUUCGGAUCAGUGGCCAAGCGAAAGCGAUAAGCCAUCCACCUGGGGAGUACGACCGCAAGGUUGAAACUCAAAUGAAUUGACGGGG